CUGAGCGAGCACAUAGGGGCCUGAAUGAGUUGAGCGCUCGCUCGAGCUGCGCUGGGCGUUGCCAGGCGAAGCGAGCGUCGCCGAGGCCCCUUCAGUUGGCCUCUCGCUGGCCCAGCCCAGCCCACGGAUCCCGAGUGGAGAACACGAGCACCGCCGGACUCGCUGGCGAGCUCCCAGGCAGAGCGCCCCGGUCUCUCAAGGAUGGCCGAGCGAGGGUUACCCGGGCGAGCAGGACUCAUGGAAAUAACUGGUAAUAAGACCUCUGGAGCCAUGGUUAGUUCUGACGUGAAACCAAAAUCAGUAAGUCAUGCCAAAAAGUGGUCAGAAGAGAUCGAAAAUCUGUACAGAUUUCAACACGCAGGAUAUCGAGAUGAAGCUGAAUACAAACACGUGACGCAAGUUUCUAUGGUGGAUCGUUGGCCAGAGACAGGAUAUGUGAAGAAACUUCAGAGACGGGACAAUACUUUCUAUUAUUACAACAGACAGAGGGAAUGUGAUGACAAGGAAGUCCACAAAGUGAAAAUUUAUGCUUACUAGCCUUACUUCUUGGUAUUACCUGCCAUUAUCUUUUUAAAAAUCCGCUGUUUGAUUCUACAUCAUGUAAGUGUCAUUUUACAAAAGACUCCAAAAUGCAGACUUCAGUGGAAUGUUUGGAGACACCAAAGCCAUGAAACUUGGUCUCUAGUAAUCAUCCCGUUCUGUUCUAAAAUAUAACUGCAGUAGCAAUUCCAUUGGUGCCCGCCUUGGUCUGGUUCUUCCUGUUUUAACCGUGGUAGCAUAACUAUAGUAAGUCCCCUACAUACAAACAAGUUCUGUUCUGAGAGCGCGUUCGUAAGUCCAGUCUGUUCGUAAGUCCAACAGAGCCGGCCUAGGUACCCUACCAACACGGUCGGCGAUAUAGUACUGUACUGUAAUAGGUUUAGACUACUUCUCACACAAAUAGUACAUAAAAAACAAACACACAAAAUAAAGAAAACAUUUCUACUCUUACAGUACAGUUCCUUGAAAAGGACGGUAGUACAGCACAACAGCUGGCAUCCAGGGGCUGGCAUCGAGUGAGCCGGCAAGAAGAAUUACUGUCUGGAGGAGGGAGAGGAGGUGGGAGACGGUAGAGCUGAAGGAUUGUCAGCAACAGGAGACGGAGGGCAAGCGGCAGUUCCACUCACGCCUGACGCUGAUGGAACGCACGUUUGCAUCUUGGAAAGUUCGCAACUUGAAGGUCCUGUUUUCCAGCACUACCUGCCCCACGAAGCCCCGUUAGUUUUUCCCAGUUCAAAACUGCGCCUUUGGGACUUCCCUGGUGGCGCAGUGGUUAAGAAUCCGCCUGCCAAGGCAGGGGACACGGGUUCAAGCCCUGGUCCAGGAAGAUCCCACAUGCCACGGAACAAGUAAGCCCGUGCGCCACAACUACUGAGCCUGCGCUCUAGAGCCCAUGAGCCACAACUACUGAACCCGUGUGCCACAACUACUGAGCCCUCGCGCCUAGAGCCCGUGCUCUGCAACAAGAGAAGCCACCGCGAUGAGAAGCCCGUGCACCACAACGAAGAGUAGCCCCCGCUCGCCGCAACUAGAGAAAGCCCGUGCGCAGCAGCGAAGACCCAAUGCAGCUAAAAGUAAAUAAAUAAAA